GAUGAACGCUGGCGGCGUGCCUAAUACAUGCAAGUCGAGCGAACGGACGAGAAGCUUGCUUCUCUGAUGUUAGCGGCGGACGGGUGAGUAACACGUGGAUAACCUACCUAUAAGACUGGGAUAACUUCGGGAAACCGGAGCUAAUACCGGAUAAUCUUUUGAACCGCAUGGUUCAAAAGUGAAAGACGGUCUUGCUGUCACUUAUAGAUGGAUCCGCGCUGCAUUAGCUAGUUGGUAAGGUAACGGCUUACCAAGGCAACGAUGCAUAGCCGACCUGAGAGGUGGAUCGGCCACACUGGAGCUGAGACACGGUCCAGACUCCUACGGGAGGCAGCAGUAGGGAAUCUGCCGCAAUGGGCGAAAGCCUGACGGAGCAACGCCGCGUGAGUGAUGAAGGUCUUCGGAUCGUAAAACUCUGUUAUGAGGGAAGAACAGAUGUGUAAGUAACUGUGCACAGCUUGACGGUACCUAAUCAGAAAGCCACGGCUAACUACGUG
rnacentral:rRNA from 1 species